rnacentral:rRNA from 1 species
CCGUAGCCCAAGAGAUCGGGAUAACACCUGGAAACAGAUGCUAAUACCGGAUAACAAUAGAUGAUGCCUAUCAACUGUUUAAAAGAUGGUUCUGCUAUCACUCUUGGAUGGACCUGCGGNGCAUUAGCUAGUUGGUAGGGUAACGGCCUACCAAGGCGAUGAUGCAUAGCCGAGUUGAGAGACUGAUCGGCCACAUUGGGACUGAGACACGGCCCAAACUCCUACGGGAGGCAGCAGC